AGCGCCAGAUAAGGCACCGGCUAACUCUGUGCCAGCAGCCGCGGUAAUACAGAGGGUGCAAGCUUUAUUCGGAAUACUGGGGUAAAGCGAGCGUAGGUGGCUUGAUAAGUCAGAUGUGAAAUCCCGGGGCUAACCUGGGAACUGCAUCUGAAACUGUUAGGCUAGAGUAGGUGAGAGGGAAGUAGAAUUUCAGGUGUAGCGGUGAAAUGCGUAGAGAUCUGAAGGAAUACCGAUGGCGAAGGCAGCUUCCUGGCAUCAUACUGACACUGAGGCUCGAAAGCGUGGGUAGCAAACAGGAUUAGAUACCCUGGUAGUCCACGCCGUAAACGAUGUCUACUAGUCGUUGGGUCCCUUGAGGACUUAGUGACGCAGCUAACGCAAUAAGUAGACCGCCUGGGGAGUACGGCCGCAAGGUUAAAACUCAAAUGAAUUGACGGGGGCCCGCACAAGCGGUGGAGCAUGUGGUUUAAUUCGAUGCAACGCGAAGAACCUUACCUGGUCUUGACAUAUCUAGAAUCCUGCAGAGAUGCGGGAGUGCCUUCGGGAAUUAGAAUACAGGUGCUGCAUGGCUGUCGUCAGCUCGUGUCGUGAGAUGUUGGGUUAAGUCCCGCAACGAGCGCAACCCUUGUCCUUAGUUACCAGCGGGUUAAGCCGGGAACUCUAAGGAUACUGCCAGUGACAAACUGGAGGAAGGCGGGGACGACGUCAAGUCAUCAUGGCCCUUACGACCAGGGCUACACACGUGCUACAAUGGUAGGUACAGAGGGCAGCUACACAGCGAUGUGAUGCGAAUCUCAAAAAGCCUAUCGUAGUCCAGAUUGGAGUCUGCAACUCGACUCCAUGAAGUAGGAAUCGCUAGUAAUCGCGGAUCAGAAUGCCGCGGUGAAUACGUUCCCGGGCCUUGUACACACCGCCCGUCACACCAUGGGAGUUGAUUGCACCAGAAGUGGAUAGCUUAACCUUCGGGGAGGCGUUACCCCUG
rnacentral:rRNA from 1 species